rnacentral:rRNA from 1 species
AACAGGAUUAGAUACCCUGGUAGUCCACGCCGUAAACGUUGGGCGCUAGAUGUAGGGACCUUUCCACGGUUUCUGUGUCGUAGCUAACGCAUUAAGCGCCCCGCCUGGGGAGUACGGCCGCAAGGCUAAAACUCAAAGGAAUUGACGGGGGCCCGCACAAGCGGCGGAGCAUGCGGAUUAAUUCGAUGCAACGCGAAGAACCUUACCAAGGCUUGACAUACACCGGAAACGGCCAGAGAUGGUUGCCCCCUUGUGGUCGGUGUACAGGUGGUGCAUGGUUGUCGUCAGCUCGUGUCGUGAGAUGUUGGGUUAAGUCCCGCAACGAGCGCAACCCUCGUUCUAUGUUGCCAGCGCGUUAUGGCGGGGACUCAUAGGAGACUGCCGGGGUCAACUCGGAGGAAGGUGGGGAUGACGUCAAAUCAUCAUGCCCCAUAUGUCUUGGGCUUCACGCAUGCUACAAUGGCCGGUACAAAGGGCUGCGAUACCGUAAGGUGGAGCGAAUCCCAAAAAGCCGGUCUCAGUUCGGAUUGAGGUCUGCAACUCGACCUCAUGAAGUCGGAGUCGCUAGUAAUCGCAGAUCAGCAACGCUGCGGUGAAUACGUUCCCGGGCCUUGUACACACCGCCCGUCAAGUCAUGAAAGUCGGUAACACCCGAAGCCGGUGGCCUAACCCUUGUGGAAGGAGCCGUCGAAGGUGGGAUCGGUGAUUAGGACUAAGUCGUAACAAGGUAACC